rnacentral:tRNA from 1 species
UGGGCUAUGGUGAAAAGGCAACACAUCAGACUUUGACUCUGACAUUUGUUGGUUCGAGUCCAACUAGCCCAGCCA